rnacentral:tRNA from 1 species
AUCCCCUUAGCUCAGUGGUAGAGCAUAAAACAAUGUCCCAGGUUCGAUUCCUGGAGGGGAAUA